rnacentral:rRNA from 1 species
GACGAACGCUGGCGGCGUGCUUAACACAUGCAAGUCGAGCGGAAAGGCUCCUUCGGGGGUACUCGAGCGGCGAACGGGUGAGUAACACGUGAGUAAUCUGCCCUUGGCUUUGGGAUAAGCCCCGGAAACGGGGUCUAAUACCGGAUACGACGCACUCUCGCAUGGGAUGUGUGUGGAAAGUUUUUUCGGCCAGGGAUGUGCUCGCGGCCUAUCAGCUUGUUGGUGGGGUAAUGGCCUACCAAGGCUUCGACGGGUAGCCGGCCUGAGAGGGUGACCGGCCACACUGGGACUGAGACACGGCCCAGACUCCUACGGGAGGCAGCAGUGGGGAAUAUUGGACAAUGGGCGG